UCCCGCCUUGGCCAGCCCAGAAAGGGGCUCGCACAGUGCAGCGGUGGGCUGAAGGGCUCCUCAAGUGCCGCCAAAGUUGGAGCCCAGGCAGAGGAGGUGCCGAGAGAAAGUGAGGGCUGUGAGGACUGCCAGCACGCUGUCACCUCUCAAUAUUCAAUACAGGACAUACUUGUAAGGUGUCUGGUAUGUCCUGGCAUUGCAGUUGGCAUGGUGACUUAAAGCUGCCAAUCACCCAGCAACAGAGCUGUAACUACAACCAAAGUCUACUCAGAAGCAGCAGUACCAAUCAUGCUGUGGACACUUAAAUAAGAAUCUUCACUCAACUGGCGAAACGGAAAAAAAUCAUGGGCUUUAGAAUUAUGUAUCACCUUGCCAACAUUACAGUGAAGCUCACAUGAGAUCCUGAAACUGCCCUCAGUGGAGAAACUAAAGCUCAUCAGAUUACUGUGUCCAGAAAGUGAGACACCAGCACCCCCCACCCAUCAUGACUGCUUCCUUACCACUCCCUAAUUCCUGUUUUUCCACCUUUCCUGAUAUAUAAACCCCAC